AGACCGAUAGCGAACAAGUAGAGUGAUCGAAAGAUGAAAAGCACUUUGAAAAGAGGGUUAAAUAGCACGUGAAAUUGUUGAAAGGGAAGGAUUUAUGACCAGACUUUUUCUAGGGGGAUCAUCCGGUGUUCUCACUGGUGCACUUCCCCUAGUUGAGGCCAGCAUCGGUUUCUGUCGAGGGAUAAAAGCUUUAGGAAUGUGGCACCCUCCGGGGUGUGUUAUAGCCUGUUGCAUAAUACCUUGACGGGGACCGAGGUUCGCGCAUUGCAAGGAUGCUGGCGUAAUGGUUAUUAAUCACCCGUCUUGAAACACGGACCAAG
rnacentral:rRNA from 1 species